rnacentral:rRNA from 1 species
UACGAAGGGGGCUAGCGUUGUUCGGAAUUACUGGGCGUAAAGGGCGCGCAGGCGGCCCUCCAAGUCAGGCGUGAAAGCCCCGGGCUCAACCCGGGAAUAGCGCUUGAGACUGGGGGGCUUGAGUUCGGGAGAGGAGAGUGGAAUUCCCAGUGUAGAGGUGAAAUUCGUAGAUAUUGGGAAGAACACUGGUGGCGAAGGCGGCUCUCUGGACCGACACUGACGCUGAGGCGCGAAAGCGUGGGGAGCAAACAGG